rnacentral:rRNA from 1 species
AGUGAACGCUGGCGGUAGGCCUAACACAUGCAAGUCGAACGGCAGCACAGUAAGAGCUUGCUCUUACGGGUGGCGAGUGGCGGACGGGUGAGGAAUACAUCGGAAUCUACUUUUUCGUGGGGGGUAACGUAGGGAAACUUACGCUAAUACCGCAUACGACCUACGGGUGAAAGCAGGGGAUCUUCGGACCUUGCGCGAUUGAAUGAGCCGAUGUCGGAUUAGCUAGUUGGCGGGGUAAAGGCCCACCAAGGCGACGAUCCGUAGCUGGUCGGAGAGGAUGAGCAGCCACACUGGAACGGAGACACGGUCCAGACUCCUACUGGAGGCAGCAUUGGGGAAUAUUGGACAAGGGGCGCAAGCCUGAUCCAGCCAUACCGCGUGGGUGAAGAGGGCCUUCGGGUUGUAAAACCCUUUUUUUGGGAAAGAAAAGCAGCAGGUUAAUACCCCGCUGUUCUGACGGUACCCAAAGAAUAAGCACCGGCUAACUUCGUG